GACGAACGCUGGCGGCGUGCUUAACAUAUGCAAGUCGAACGGUAAGGCCCUUCGGGGUACACGAGUGGCGAACGGGUGAGUAACACGCGGGUGAUCUGCCCUGCACUUCGGGAUAAGCCUGGGAAACUGGGACUAAUACCGGAUAGGACCCUGGGAUGCAUGUCCUGGGGUGGAAAGCUUUUGCGGGGUGGGAUGGGCCCGCGGCCUAUCAGCUUGUUGGUGGGGUGAUGGCCUACCAAGGCGACGACGGGUAGCCGGCCUGGGAGGGUGACCGGCCACACUGGGACUGAGAGACGGCGCAGACUGCAACGGGAGGCAGCGGUGGGGAAUAUGGCACAAUGGGGGCAAGCCUGAUGCAGCGACGCCGCGUGAGGGAUGACGGCCUUCGGGGUGUAAACCUCUUUCAGCACCGACGAAGCGCAAGUGACGGUAGGGGCAGAAGAAGGACCGGCCAACUACGUGCCAGCCGCCGCCGUAA
rnacentral:rRNA from 1 species